rnacentral:rRNA from 1 species
AUUGAACGCUGGCGGCAGGCCUAACACAUGCAAGUCGAGCGGAUGAAGGGAGCUUGCUCCUGGAUUCAGCGGCGGACGGGUGAGUAAUGCCUAGGAAUCUGCCUGGUAGUGGGGGAUAACGUCCGGAAACGGGCGCUAAUACCGCAUGCGUCCUGAGGGAGAAAGUGGGGGAUCUUCGGACCUCACGCUAUCAGAUGAGCCUAGGUCGGAUUAGCUAGUUGGUGGGGUAAAGGCCUACCAAGGCGACGAUCCGUAACUGGUCUGAGAGGAUGAUCAGUCACACUGGAACUGAGACACGGUCCAGACUCCUACGGGAGGCAGCAGUGGGGAAUAUUGGACAAAGGGCGAAAGCCUGAUCCAGCCAUGCCGCGUGUGUGAAGAAGGUCUUCGGAUUGUAAAGCACUUUAAGUUGGGAGGAAGGGCAGUAAGUUAAUACCUUGCUGUUUUGACGUUACCAACAGAAUAAGCACCGGCUAACUUCGUG